rnacentral:rRNA from 1 species
GACGAACGCUGGCGGCGUGCUUAACACAUGCAAGUCCAGCGGUAAGGCCCUUUCGGGGGUACACGAGCGGCGAACGGGUGAGUAACACGUGGGUGACCUGCCCUCAGCUCUGGGAUAAGCCUGGGAAACCGGGUCUAAUACUGGAUAUGACUCCAUGACGCAUGUUGUGGGGUGGAAAGCCUUGUGCGGCUGAGGAUGGGCCCGCGGCCUAUCAGCUUGUUGGUGGGGUGANGGCCUACCAAGGCGACGACGGGUAGCCGGCCUGAGAGGGCGACCGGCCACACUGGGACUGAGACACGGCCCAGACUCCUACGGGAGGCAGCAGUGGGGAAUCUUGCGCAAUGGGCGAAAGCCUGACGCAGCGACGCCGCGUGAGGGAUGACGGCCUGG